rnacentral:rRNA from 1 species
UACGUAGGGGGCAAGCGUUGUCCGGAAUCAUUGGGCGUAAAGAGCGUGUAGGCGGUCCGGUCAGUCGGUUGUGAAAGUCAAGGGCUCAACCCUUGAAUGCCGGCCGAUACUGCCGGGCUAGAGUCCGGAAGAGGUGAGUGGAAUUCCUGGUGUAGCGGUGGAAUGCGCAGAUAUCAGGAGGAACACCAAUAGCGAAGGCAGCUCGCUGGGACGGUACUGACGCUGAGGUGCGAAAGCGUGGGGAGCAAACAGG